CCUACGGGUGGCAGCAGUGAGGAAUAUUGGUCAAUGGGCGCGAGCCUGAACCAGCCAAGUAGCGUGAAGGAUGACUGCCCUCCGGGUUGUAAACUUCUUUUAUAAAGGAAUAAAGUGAGGCUCGUGUGCCUUUUUGUAUGUACUUUAUGAAUAAGGAUAGGCUAACUCCGUGCCAGCAGCCGCGGUAAUACGGAGGAUCCGAGCGUUAUCCGGAUUUAUUGGGUUUAAAGGGAGCGUAGAUGGGUUGUUAAGUCAGUUGUGAAAGUUUGCGGCUCAACCGUGAAAUUGCAAUUGAUACUGGCAGUCUUGAGUGCAGUUGAGGUAGGCGGAAUUCGUGGUGUAGCGGUGAAAUGCUUAGAUAUCACGAGGAACACCGAUGGCGAAGGCAGCUUACUAAACUGCCACUGACGUUGAGGCUCGAAAGUGUGGGUAGCAAACAGGAUUAGAUACCCUUGUAGUC
rnacentral:rRNA from 1 species